AUGCUCCUCUGCUGUUCUGGCUGCUACAUGAGUAGCUUUCACUGUACACUCCAUUGUCCCCCGUAACACAGGAAGGCAUCCUCCUGAGUUAGCAGUAACUGAAGGAUAAAGAUGAACAAACCACAAUUUCUUUCAUUCUCCCAACUCCUGGCUUUAGGGGCUGCUUUCUGGCUUUAAAAAUAUUGCACUGGAAUAGAACCAAGGAUCAAAUAUCUGGGACAUGAUAUCUUGAGUAAAACAGGUCAAUAACAGUUUUCUGACCAGCAACAACCUGUGGGCCAAAAUUAGAACAGCACGGAAAUGGAGGAAAUUAUUCAGUGGAAAUUAUAGAACUGAAAGCUAAAAGGAAAUGUCUGCUACAGAGACAAACUGAAGUUUGUGUAUAUCGUGCUGAUUCAGAAGAGAAUGAAGGCAUUUGUCAAGAGAUAAUGUCAGACUAAUCAGACAUGUUCCAAUCGAUUAAUGCAUUUGGAGGAUUUCCAAAUAUUUGCUGAUCUAAGGACGGUAUAUGAUGGGAAACAAAUCUGAGAAAAGAAGGAUGGUAGAUGCUUUCCCAUUGUGACCUGUGAUCAUUUUGGGUAUACAACACAGUUUUCCGCAGACAGAAUGCUGUGUUUCUUACUUUUAGCUUUAGAGCUGUAUAUUCAACAAUUCUGUGUCAUGGAAGAACCUAGCUGAGGCAAAAAAAAGAAAAAGGUAAUUUUCUUCUUCCAUUUACACGUAAAAUGUUUAUUUGAAGAAUAAGAAAUAAGCAAAGAGACAGGAGAAGGAAAUUGUGUUUCUUUCAGCAAGUAAAAAGAAAGGCAAAACCCAAAAUAAAUAAUAUGUAAUUAUUUUUUAUCUGACUAUUUUUUGGCAUUUGUUUCUGCAUUUCUAAAUAAUGGAACUAUAAUACAUUUUCACUAUUGGUCAAUUUUAGGUAUCAUUUACUUACUACCUAUAAUAAAAGUUAAAAUUGUAGCUAUGAAAGGACCCCUUUAAUGCUAAAAAUAUCACAGGAAAUAUUUGCAUUACCUAAGUCAAUACGUAAGUCAGCCAGGAAGAACAUUUACAAGACAAAGUUGAUCAUGAUACUCUCUUGUAAGUGAAGAUGCUAUUAUUUUAUAACCUAGAUGUGAGGAUCUGAAAGUUGUUAAAUAAAGGCUCCAUAUGAGCUCUUGUACUCUGUAAAAUGUCCUCUUAAGUUAGCUUUAGCUAAACUAACAUACUGCCAGGGAACAGUGUUAAUGUGUUUAAUUACCAAGCUCUUUCCAAGAAAGCCUUGUCACUUGUUCACUGGUCUUAUUGCCACUUUCUGUCUUCACUCUACUUCUACCUUUCCACAAACACAUCAGUACAGAUAUUUGCAUGUUUUGCACUUCUCCACAGUUUGUACUAGUUUCUAGAAGAAAUUUUUUACUGUCAAUUAAGGCAAUGCUUUAUUCACAUGUGGCUGCCACUAGAGAAAUGUCUUAAAUUAACAAAGAAAUAAA
rnacentral:lncRNA from 10 species